rnacentral:rRNA from 1 species
CAACUUUUAACAACGGAUCUCUUGGCUCUCGCAUCGAUGAAGAACGCAGCGAAAUGCGAUAAGUAAUGUGAAUUGCAGAAUUCAGUGAAUCAUCGAAUCUUUGAACGCACCUUGCGCUCUCUGGUAUUCCGGGGAGCACACCUGUUCGAGUGUCAUUAA